AUAUUGCACAAUGGGCGCAAGCCUGAUGCAGCAACGCCGCGUGCGCGACGAAGGCCUUCGGGUCGUAAAGCGCUUUUCGGGGAGAUGAUUACUGACAGUAUCCCCGGAAGAAGGAUCGGCUAACUACGUGCCAGCAGCCGCGGUAAAACGUAGGAUCCGGGCGUUAUCCGAAUUCACUGGGCGCAAAGCGCAAGCAGGCAGCCCCACAAGUUGGAUGUGAAAUCUCCCGGCUCAACUGGGAGGGGACGUUCAAAACUGUGCGGCUCGAGGGCGGUAGAGGAAGGUAGAAUUCCCGGUGUAGUGGUGAAAUGCGUAGAUAUCGGGAGGAAUACCCGUGGCGAAGGCGACCUUCUGGACCGUUUCUGACGCUCAGAUGCGAAAGCUAGGGGAGCGAACGGG
rnacentral:rRNA from 1 species